ACCUACCAAAUCCUCUUGAAAUAAGAUGGCCCCUCCCCUUAAAUGGGAGACGGAUAAAAGCUCUACGUUAGGUGCCAUCAUCAACGGGCCAUUGACGCAAAAGGGUCCUCCCCCCCCAUCAAGAACUCAAAAUCUAAUUCGUCUUUGCAACAAGGACCUUCCUAGCGAACCCCAGACUUUUCUUCCGCCUUGAUUUCUCCAAAUCUAUUCGUAUUAUAUGGUCAUGGUCUUGGUCUUCCCUGGAAAAUUAGCAGGUAGAGAUUCCUCCGCUUUCGAUUUCUUUCUUCUCUCUCCUUCUGUCAAACACCGUGCGAUCUUUCGUGUAAUGUGCUUUCAACUUCCCAAUCAUGGGAUAACAACCAUAUCUCUCCCUCCACGUUCUCUCUACCACACGACGGAUAAACUACGAGAAGAAAGAAGUGGGAUUACUCUGUCUAAUGUCAUGGAUGACUCCAAACCCCUCUAAGGGUCCCUAUAUGUUAUUCCGAUAUUAUAAACCGUUGGUAUUUAAAAAGCGAGGUUGUAAUGAUCUAGAUGACAAAC
rnacentral:lncRNA from 1 species